UACAGAGGGUGCGAGCGUUAAUCGGAAUUACUGGGCGUAAAGCGUGCGUAGACGGUUAUGUAAGUCGGGUGUGAAAGCCCUGGGCUCAACCUGGGAAUUGCAUUCGAGACUGCAUAGCUAGGGUGCGGAAGAGGGAAGCGGAAUUUCCGGUGUAGCGGUGAAAUGCGUAGAUAUCGGAAGGAACACCAGUGGCGAAAGCGGCUUCCUGGUCCAGCACCGACGUUCAGGCACGAAAGCGUGGGGAGCAAACAGG
rnacentral:rRNA from 1 species